GAUGAAGAACGCAGCGAAAUGCGAUAAGUAGUGUGAAUUGCAGAAUUCAGUGAAUCAUCGAAUCUUUGAACGCACAUUGCGCCCUUUGGUAUUCCUUAGGGCAUGCCUGUUCGAGCGUCAUUUAAACCUUCAAGCUCAGCUUGGUGUUGGGUGACUGUCCGCUUCACCGCGGACUCGCCUCAAAAUUAUUGGCGGCCGGUACAUUGGCUCUCGAGCGCAGCAGAAACGCGUAACUCGAGGUCCUCGUGCUGGCUCCCAGAAGCUAUCUUCACAAUUUUGACCUCGGAUCAGGUAGGGAUACCCGCUGAACUUAAGCAUAUCAAUAAGCGAGGA
rnacentral:misc_RNA from 1 species